rnacentral:rRNA from 1 species
ACUCCUACGGGAGGCAGCAGUGGGGAAUCUUGCGCAAUGGGCGAAAGCCUGACGCAGCCAUGCCGCGUGAAUGAUGAAGGUCUUAGGAUUGUAAAAUUCUUUCACCGGGGACGAUAAUGACGGUACCCGGAGAAGAAGCCCCGGCUAACUUCGUGCCAGCAGCCGCGGUAAUACUUC